GACGAACGCUGGCGGCGUGCCUAAUACAUGCAAGUUGAGCGAUGAAGAUUGGUGCUUGCACCAAUUUGAAGAGCAGCGAACGGGUGAGUAACGCGUGGGGAAUCUGCCUUUGAGCGGGGGAUAACAUUUGGAAACGAAUGCUAAUACCGCAUAACAACUUUAAACAUAAGUUUUAAGUUUGAAAGAUGCAAUUGCAUCACUCAAAGAUGAUCCCGCGUUGUAUUAGCUAGUUGGUGAGGUAAAGGCUCACCAAGGCGAUGAUACAUAGCCGACCUGAGAGGGUGAUCGGCCACAUUGGGACUGAGACACGGCCCAAACUCCUACGGGAGGCAGCAGUAGGGAAUCUUCGGCAAUGGACGAAAGUCUGACCGAGCAACGCCGCGUGAGUGAAGAAGGGUUUCGGAUCGUAAAACUCUGUUGGUAGAGAAGAACGUUGGUGAGAGUGGAAAGCUCAUCAAGUGACGGUAACUACCCAGAAAGGGACGGCUAACUACGUG
rnacentral:rRNA from 1 species